UAUAAAGCUUUCUUUUAAGACCUGUUGGAGUUUUUCUUUACUUCAGGGAAAUUGAGUCUGUACUCACCAGGGAAUUGGUGGGAGGAAGAAAUCAAGGGAGAUCUGUGUGUUGGAUUGCUAGCCUGAUUUUGCAUUCCCUCUGGGGGAAUAGGAAAUGCUUUUUGUUCCCAGGACUGGGAACGGAGAGGGGGAGUCACUCUGUUUGGAUUCACAGAGCUUGUGUCUGUGUAUCUCUCCAGGAGCACCUGGAGGGGGGAAGGGAAAAAGGAUUAUUUCCCUUUGUUGUGAGACUCAAGGGAUUUGGGUCUUGGGGUCCCCAGGGAAGGG